rnacentral:rRNA from 1 species
UAAGACGAAGGUGGCGAGCGUUGUUCGGUGUUACUGGGCUUAAAGCGUAUGUAGGCGGGAAGGUAAGCGUCUUGUGAAAUCCCUCGGCUUAACCGAGGAAUUGCUCGGCGAACUACCUUUCUUGAGGCAAGUAGGGGUGCGCGGAACUCUUGGUGGAGCGGUGGAAUGCGUAGAUAUCAAGAGGAACGCCGGUGGUGAAGACGGUGCACUGGGCUUGUCCUGACGCUGAGAUACGAAAGCGUGGGUAGCGAACGGGAUUAGAUACCCCGGUAGUCCACGCUGUAAACGAUGUCUACUAGGCUGUGGGAGUUCUGAUGCUGUCACGGCCGAAGCAAAAGUGUUAAGUAGACCGCCUGGGGAGUACGGUCGCAAGGCUA